rnacentral:misc_RNA from 1 species
GUGUGUGUGUGCAGGGCCAUACCGUCGCGACGGUCUCGUCUACGCCUUCUACAUCUCGGCUCACCCACCCACCCCUACUUCCCAUCUCUUCAGAGCAGCAGUUGUUUACACCACGGACAGACUCACGGGCGGCUCGGCACACACACACACACACACCUCGCUUUCUCUCUGCCGGCCCCCCUCUAUUCCAUUUCCACCCCGGUCGAAGAUUUCCUUCUGUGGUUUGGUUUUCGCUUCUCGCCGUCUCUCGUUGUGUUUCGGCCCGCACCUCUUAGACGCACACGCGCACACAGAGGCACGUGAUGGCGUGUGGGCGUUGUUCGUGUUAUCAGCUUACCAUCACCAUCUGCUGGUGCGGCUUCCUCUAUCGCCAGCUCGAUCUCUCCUGCCGCUUCCUUUCUCUUUAGAUUCCCGCACUCUCGCCUCUUGGUGCGCACGCCGUGUGUGCGUGCCUUCAUUUUGACUAGAUUACGCUUGGCAGCAGCAACAGCAGAAGCCCCAUCACACGCGUGGGCGGCACAGACGUAGAUCAGCAGCCUCGCACUAUACGUUGACUUGCCUUGCGUUGUUGUUGCGUCUUUGCUCCACUGUUUCCCCUGCCCCCUUCUCUUCUCCGCGACGAUGCAGCAGCAGCAGCACCAGCGGUCUUUCUGUCCGCUCUCCUCCGCAUCCGCGCCGAAGCCGCCUCCGCAGACGGGACAAGCAGAAGGGAAAAACGACGGUGGCUGCGCACCACGCGCUGACGAGGCGCACGUGAUACAGGCGAGUGCGUACGCGCUUUGGGAGCAGCUCUACGCGCCAGCUAGAGUGCCCCUCACCCUCGAGCGCCUCUUGUACCUCCGCCUGUCCGCGAAGGGCAACGGCGAGAGCAUCGAUGCUCAAGGCCACCAUUAUUGCGCCGAUGAUCGGAGGUGGGCGAGGUCGCUCUUCGGAGAAGUCACCACCCAGCUCGACACCUCCGCUCCGUCCGCGUCGAUGGCGCCGUCGACUGCACCCGCGGCGGCGAUUGCGCCAGGAGAACAAUCUCGCGGUGCUCCAUCGAAUGCGGCUACUGCAGUGGCAACAACAGCGUCUCUUCAGGAAAGCCGAGACGACAAGGGGGGGAACGAAUCACAGAGGGCCUGGAAAGGGAGUUUGCCCGACGUCGCAUCGAGCGUCGCUGCCCCACCCACCGAGCAAUGCACCUCCGCGGAUGUGGAGCAGACGUCGGUUUCGACGCCGCUGCGCGUGCCGCAGGCGUGCGCGAAUGCCCAAUCAGCCAGUGGUGUGGACAGAGGGCGUGCCUCGGAGUCGCGGAGCGCCGCGACAGCCCUUUCUCACCCUGACGCCGUCAUAGCGUCGGCGUCUGUGCCCGCGCCGCUUUCAUCGGUGCAGCGCGGAUCCGACAGCAACCGGGAUGUCGACAAUGAUGGCGGCCGCGGCAGCGCUGUUCUGCUGCAGCCUUACCGAGGGUGCGCCCUGUCCGCCGCCUCGCCGCCUCACCGGGCGCUCCUAGCUCCAACGUCGGACGUUUCGUUGUCAUGCGCGUCGGCGGCGCCCAUGAGUCUUGAGCAGGACGACAGCGCGAAUUGCAUCGACGGGAACGAGGAGGCCGAGCCCUGUGUCAACACGUGGUCAGUGGAAGCGGCAUCGGCCGCCCCGGCGUUGCACAUGCACACGCCAUCCACGUCAGCAGCCGCCGUGAGAACAGACGAGAAGGGCAGGCGCGAUGGCUCUGGACGCGAUGCAGGCUGCAGUCCUCCGUUGGAGCAUUCCGCUUACAGAGGCAGUGAUGGGGAGAGCCGCGGGGCCGUUGAUGAUGAACAGGCGCACACACUUGCGCAACAAGAGAAGGCGGCGGAGUCGUGCGGCGCGUGGGAGAGUGCCACUGCCACGACCACACCCGUUCGGUCUUAUCAUCUCUACUGCCACUACCGCAGCUCGCACGACACGGGCCCGUCUGCCGAAGGGGGCGGCCGCAAUGAGGAAGAGGACGCAGAGCACGGCGAAAGAGGUGAAAAGGACGGCAACGAUGUGGGGUUUCUGUCCCUCGCCACCUCUCCAUCAGCUGGAGCUCCUGAGCAAUGGCGCCCGUGCCCUGUGGUGGGCACCUAUGCAGGUCUUUCGACGCCAUCGCCAAAGCCGAUUGUGGUGCUGGAGGAUACCAUGACCGCACUCGCCGUGUCAGCGCUGCCGUGUGGCCUCACGAGAAAUGGAGAGGACAGCUCUCAGCUCGAUUCGCCGAUACGUCGCAGGCACACCACCAGGGUGUCGACGUCGAUGAGCCCGGUGGCGGACCCUAACGGGCUCGUCUUCAGUCCACCGUGCCGGCAGCAGAUGCGGUUGCGGCUGCAGCGCCGUCGUCCCCGUCAAGCAAGUGAAGGAAGUGAUUUGGAGUAUUCGCCUCACACUCCGGUGCCUGGAUCGCCAUCGCAGUCGCCGCUGCCGCCCCCGUCGUGCUGGUCGACACCACUCCCGCAAGAGCGGUGCCCACGUGACGCUCAGACCCCACCAACGCCGACAGCACUUUCUGCAGCUUCGCAGCCGCCGGCCUCUCCGACUCCCUCUCCGACUAAUAUGGCAGACAGCGGUGCCGGCGCCACAGAUGAGCUCUGCGCUGGCAACCAUGCAGCAGACGCCGCCGUGAUGGGCGCUUCACCCCCGCAGGUGAUUCACUUGAAGAAAGAGAAGGCUGUGAUGACAGUCUCAAACAUCAGCCAGGAAAGCCGUACGAGUGCCGAUACCGCAGCGAAGGAAGACGACGCUAAACCGCGGGACGCCACGGCGCCGGAUUCGCCGGUGGAUGCAUCUUCCUCUGCGGAAGCCGGUGACGACGGCCAGGGCAGGCGUGAUGGCGGCUCGGUGGCGCCUGUUGCUGUUGGCGUCGAGGACGAGCGUGUUGGCGGCGACGAAGAGGACGCGGAAGGAGAUGCUGGGGAGCCGGCAUCGACGGUAUCCUUGUCGCCCCAGCGGCCUUCUCUCGAGUGUCCUGCGCAACGGCGCGCUACCGCCGCGCCGCGAGGUGUCCCUGCUGAAGGCCAUGCGGAGUGUGGCUUAUCAAGCGUGAAAAAGGCGGCGCGCACGGCAAACCCUGUCCCUGCUUCUGUGGCUGAUGUCUCGGUCACCCCCUCCUCGCCCUCGACCUCCCCACCAUCUCAUGCCAGUCACGAGUCCUUCAACCCAUCAAAGCAUAGGGAAGAGCCACAGCAGCGUCAUCCGCACCCAUCUCUGCCCGAGGAUAGGGCAGCACGGCGCUCAGUCUCCAACAUGGACUUCCGGUGGGCUGACGAAGCCGAUGAUAUCCUGCGCAGGCAGCAGCAGCGGGUUCACUCGCUGCAGGCAGCGAGGACUGCCACGCUUGCCGGCGGUGAUACGCGUUGCAGUCCGAGUACGAGUCGGUGCAGCCCAGGCGGCGGCCCUCGGCGCUAUACACCGCUCUCUCAGGAUGGCGAGACUGCCCAAGGCAGCCAGAGCGGAAACGGCACAAGACUGGCACGGGCGUACGGAGGCUCAGAAGCAUCGUACAGCGUCUCACCCCAGCCACAGGACCCCAGAACGCAUCACUACCACGAAAGGGCGAUGAUGAGGCCAGAAGGCAUGGGGGUGGAAGCGGUGGCGUCGCACACCGACGGCAGCAGCAUCGUGACAGAGCAGGGGGACGUCGCGCCCUCAUCGUACCGCGCCGGCAGAAGCGAAGAGUUGGCGUGCCUCAGCGUCACUCGCAGCGGUGAAGGACGUGCGGACAUCGCGUUUGCUACAACGUCCUCCUCCACGCCACCGACGGCUCCCCUCCGCCAGCCACCACUGGCAUCCGUAGCCGAAGCAACAGCGGCAGAUGACGCGUCCAUGCCGCACACGGAUCGGCUGUAUCAACAGCAGCAGCAGCCGUCGCCUCGCCACGCUGGCACUAAGCGGCUGCGUGAAAAUAACGGCGGCGAUGAUGGCCGCAGCGACGCAGUGCAUGCUCGACGCUCGCCGGCGCCGUCGUCUGUGCCAGCGUCUAGUCAGACAGUGACGAAGCGGAAAAAGAGUGACUGCAGCGGCGGUGCUCAGUCGACUGAGCGCCGACACCGCGCUGACGACCGUGCUCGUCUGCGCCAGAACUUGCGAGGAGACACGGCGGCGAAAGCGACAACGAGGUCGAUAUUGUGUGCCUCCCCAGCGAAUGUCUUUGCGCUUCCACGUACCAUAUCUGCAGAUCCCGGGGCAUCUAUUGCCACUCCGACGUUCACCACGGCGGCCCCGCUCGCAGGCCCAUCGCUGUCGCUGCUGCGUCCGCGUUCGGGGAACUGCGUCAGCGAUCCGCCAUCAGCUGCUAAGGCACCGAAAAGCGCGAAAGGAAAGUCGACUCAUGUCAGCGCUCCAUCACUCCCCAUCACCGCUGCGGCCUCGCCGCCACGCGAGAAUGCGAGCAGCAGCAGAGCACACAAGACUGCGCAAUGGGCGGCGCGCUGCACGCCCUCCCUCGAGGCCACGAACAAGCGGCGAGAAGAAGUAAAGCGGCACCAGUAGUGCGCAGAGAGGGAGGGUGUGCAAGAUAUCUGAUCACUGCAGUAACUCUGCUCGCAAACGCGGAGAAACCGGCAUGGCUGGCUCGUUGCUGUGGUCUCUGUCGCAUCUUUCUGUGUGUGUGUGUGUGUGUGUGUGUGUGUGUGGUUGAUGGAGCUGCGCUGCUCAAGCGCCUGCCUCUCUCCCUCUCUCUCUCAGCGUGUGUGUUGUGUGUGCUGUAGCGUGGACACACUGCCCGCGUGCACCAGAAGUGUACACACCUGCAAGCGAAAACGCAUCGACUCCAUAGCGCUAUGUAUCUCUAGGUAUACCCACGCAUACAAGCAUAUGUUUGCAUGCAUAUACGCAUGCAUCCUUCUUGUUUUUUGGAGGACGCAGUGGGGGGGGGGGGGGUCGUGCCUCUCUUGGGGAAGGGGGAGGGGUGCUCCACGUGCGCGUUCUCUCUUCCUCUCUUUGUGGUGCUGCGGCCCCUCCCCGUGUCGCCCUCUGUCCUUUGCUCUCGUGCUGUGCACGUGUGUGCGUGAGUGUGAGUUCCACGGCGAGCAGAUCUCGCGCCGCUUGCAGGUCGAUGAACGGCAGAACACGCACGUCCACCCAAGGACGCCGCAGAGAAAAC